GUCACUCUCUGCUCUGUUGACAUCCGCCGCUGACAGUGAAAACAAAAGUUGAAACUGCUGUUGUUCCUGUGACAAAUGUUUUAUUUUUCAACCACGGUUACAUUCAAACACUUCUUGUAGAAAUAAAUUUAUUUAUAUUUCCGGUAACGACUUGUUACUUGUCCCUGCAGUACGACGCGGACGCGCAGACAUGUAGGUUUCUGCUAGCGCCGCUAAGCUAACUGUAUCGACGUCGGUAGCGCCGUCCGUUGGUCAGUACCGUCGACUCGUAAAAGUAUUGUUGUUGUUGUUGUUUUUUUUUAUUUAAAAACAAGAUGUCGGACUCUGUCGGGAUAACGCUGCCUCCGGACUGGGACGACGACGAGCGCAUGAACUUCAUGUUCUCCGACUUCAAGGAGAACCGAGACGUAAACGCGAGCGAGUGGGACAGUAAGAUGGACUUCUGGACGGCGCUCGUCCUCCGCAGCUGCAGGGAGCGACGCACCGUGUGCGUCAGCCUGCAGGAGCUGAACAAAACCUUCAGGCGGAAGGAGAAGUCCCCGCUGGGCCUGGCCACGGUCGUCCAGUCCAUGGUCAGGUGCGGGAAGAUCCAGAGGGAGUCGGAGUUUGCAGUGGACUGCGGCUGGUUGUCCUGGGCCAUGGGCCUCCUGCUGGUCAAACCUCUGAAGUGGACCUUGUCCUCCCUGCUGGGCAGCGGACAGCUCCCCCUGCAGGAGUCCUUUGUUGUCCACGAACUCGUGAAGGAAAAAGCAGCCGAGCUGCUGCGGGCGUACGGAAAGAGCGAGUUCUCCCGACGCGCCGUCCUUUCGUUCAGCGAGGUUCGCGGCCUGUCCUCGGACGUCUGCGCCGAUGAGAGCACGCUGUGCAUGGCUCUGCUGCAGCUGCAGAGGGAGAAGAGAGCGACGGUGGCGCUGCACGAGGGCGAGAAGAUUGUCAAGUUCGGCCAGCGCGGCUCGGUGUCUCCGGUCAACGACGUGGACGUCGGGAUAUACCAGCUGCAGCAGAGUGAGAAGCUGCUGGAGGACCAGGUGAAGAAACUAGGCCUGGAGGCAGACAGGUGCAGAGACGAGGUGAGGUUUCUGCUGCGAGAAGGGAAGAAAUCACAGGCGCUGAGGAGUCUGAGAGGCUGCAAGAGGUUAGAGAAGAGGAGCGACAACCUGUCCUCCAACCUGGAGACCAUCAGAGGAAUCCUGGACAGGAUCGCCCAGUCUGAGACCGAUAAGAUGGUCAUACAGGCCUACCAGGCCGGAGUGUCCGCCCUCAAGGUGGCGCUGAAGGACGUGACGGUGGAGCGGGCCGAGAACCUGGUGGAUCAGAUUCAGGAGUUGUGCGACACCCAGGACGAGGUGAACCAGACUUUGUCCAGCGGAGUCAGCGGCACAGAUGUGGACAUGGACGAUUUGGAGGACGAGCUGAACUCACUGCUGGAGGAGUCGAACCCGGACGCCGCGUCAGGUCUGCCCGCUGUUCCGACCGCUCCGCUGUUACCCUCCGGGGGGCGGGGCCUUUCGGCGGACGGUCUGCUCAGCUCUCUGCCCGCGGUGCCUCAAGGUCUGGUGGAACAGUUGGACCGGUUGACGCUCACGCCGUCAGGUGUCCAACCCGCGAACGCGUCGUCGAAGAAAUUAGAACCUGCGUAGUGUCAAGGUCGCAAAGGUGAAAGGUCGACAGGGGACGCGUGUCCGCGAGUAAGUUAAAAAAAAAACGUCAUCAGUCCGAGGUCGCGAUGAGCGCGGGAACCAAAAAAAACAGUUUGGAUUCGUUUGAAAAUACAUUUUAUAAUUUUGAACAUGUGCCAAAUGGUCAAAAACCACUAUAUCGGUAUGAAGGUCUGGUGUUGUAUCGCGAUGUAACCGUUUUCUCAAAAUAAAGUUUAUUUUAAUCAC